rnacentral:misc_RNA from 1 species
AUAUAUAUCAACCUCUUCAGCUUUUUGCAUGUUGAGUUGUUGGAUGUGGGGGGCUAUUUUUUGCUGGACUUCUUGAGAAAUCUGAGUUCAGCUCCCCUAAAAUACAUUAGCGAAACAAUUUGUUUACUGCUCAUUGGUGUGAUAACUAUCUACGCUAUUGACAGGGACAUGUUUAGCUUCUAACAGUCUAUUAACUUGGACAAUCUUUAUUA